rnacentral:lncRNA from 10 species
UGAGCCACCGCGUCCUGUGUUUAACUUUUUAAGACCCGUUUCUGCUGGGUGUGACUGCGCCAUUUGACCUCCUCUCUGACCAUAAGAUUGUGAGCCUCUGGAAGCCACGAUGUUCCCGUCUGCUAAUGGGAAUCAUCAUCUCUCGGCAGCACGAGGAAGCCAGAGGGAGAGGAUGGGGUCGGCUUCGCCGAGGGUGCGCACCACGGCUCUGUCGCCAUGGUGACCCACGAGCCUGGCCUUUGCAGGAAGCCCCAGGCCUGUUCCACCAUCUGUACAUGCUGACGCCAGGUGAGCUGUGGAACUGAACAGAACCAAAGGGACUCCGAUGGAACGGCUGAGGGCACUUCUGGCCCUGAGGCUCUGCUGAGCCGUCGCAAGCCCAUGCUGGGCGGUCACGCCUGUCUCAUCGUUGCAGCAGCUGGUCUGUCCUGAUGCUCCAGGUGGACGCUUCGUUCUUGGCUCGGCCCGUGGAAACCAUGAAAAGUGGAGGUCCUGUGUGGGGCAUCUGCAACAUACCAGCCACGGAGCUCGGGGCUCACAGUAGCUUCUCAGUAAAUACUGAAUGGACGCCUGGUUUCCAGUUUCCGUGACACAUUGGGAAACCAUUCGUAAGCCCCGGUGUUGGUAAGGGGGCGGCAUACAGGCACAUCUCCGGCGAGGACCGCGGAUGCCUCUCGGGCGGGCCGUGAGGACACCUCCACCCCGGCGUUCCCAUGAGCCCAGCAAAGGGAAGCUGAGCAAAGAUGCGCAGAGCACCCCGAUCUGGACGAGGCCUGCAGACCACAAAGCUGGAUGCAGUGAGUGUGCAAUUGUUGUGUGAGGCUGUCCG